AAUGGACUCAGAAUGAGUUGGCACCCCCGAGGUACCUGUCUUGCUGGGGAGCCACAGGUGAAGGGCUGGCUGCUGGACACAUGUUUGCAUGGAGUCAGGCUGAGUGGCCUCAGGGUGUUUGCUCUGCACUUGUGUGUGUUUCUCCCUAGUUGGUUUCCUUGUCCAGCCACCUGUGACCUCGCUCCAUCCAGCCCAGGGAAUCCUUCUCAUCACAGGGUAAAUCUGACAGCCCUACUGAUGAUCCACAAUGGAGGCAGUUCAGGAGCGGUACAUGCUGGCUCUCGGACAGUCAGAAAUGGCUUCAGCAGAUCCAG